GGAAUGUGUCAAGUAGCGGUGAAAUGCAUAGAUAGGACACAGGACACCGAUAGCGAAGGCAGCUCACAAAAUUACAACUGACACUGAGGCACGAAAGCGUGGGUAUCAGACAGGAUUAGAUACCCUGGUAGUCCACGCUGUAAACGAUGAUCACUAGCUGUUUGCGAUACAUUGUAAGUGGUUAAGCGAAAGCGAUAAGUGAUCCACCUGGGGAGUACGUCGGCAACGAUGAAACUCAAAGGAAUUGACGGGGGCCCGCACAAGCGGAGGAGCAUGUGGUUUAAUUCGAUGAUACGCGAGGAACCUUACCUGGGCUUGAACGUAUGGUGCAUGAGUGUGAAAGCACUCUUUCCUUCACAGGACUUCAUACGAGGUGCUGCAUGGUUGUCGUCAGCUCGUGCCGUGAGGUGUUAGGUUAAGUCCUGCAACGAGCGCAACCCCUGUUUUUAGUUGCCAGCAGGUUAUGCUGGGCACUCUAGAAAGACUGCCUGCGCAAGCAGAGAGGAAGGUGGGGAUGACGUCAAAUCAGCACGGCCCUUACGUCCAGGGCUACACACGUGCUACAAUGGUCAGCACAGAGGGUGGCUACCCGGCAACGGGAUGCUAAUCUCCAAAGUCGAUCUUAGUUCGGAUCGAAGUCUGCAACUCGACUUCGUGAAGUUGGAUUCGCUAGUAAUCGUAUAUCAGCCAUGAUACGGUGAAUACGUUCCCGGGCAUUGUACACACCGCCCGUCAAGCCAUGGAAGUUGGGGGUACAUGAAGUCGAUUACCGUAAGGGAUGCACUAGGGUAAACCGAUAA
rnacentral:rRNA from 1 species